GCCUUCAUAGGUUUUCAGUAGCAAAAUGAAUGAAGACCCAAGAAUUUAAUCUGAUCUCAAAGCUGACUCUUUGAGCAGAAAGCUGCACUUCAGACCCACGUUACGCGACAAGGCUGUAAGGCUGUGGUUCCAUCACAGCGAUCACACACAGUGAUCAUUUUCAACAGACAACUGAGAACUUGUAAAAGUUUGAAGGACACUGAACUCUGAAUCAACCUAGAGGUAGUUGCUGCAGAGGUAGUAUGUCAGCUAGUUCAAUAGCUGAUUGCUUCAUGUCCUGGGCUCUGUAGUCAUGCAGUGCACUGGCUGGACAAGCGCCAGACCUGGGAGCAAGGAGGGAGUAAAUCUGUACAGACGGCUUGGAACUGAAACUACAUCUCAGCAAUAAGCAGGAUUUGGAGGCACAGUUGGAGGAUAGUAUUGCACUCUGUGUCUGAUAGAAUUCAACAGCUUUAUCUUUUGGGAAAAGGAUGUCUCUCCUGAUGUGGAAACAACUCCUAGCAACGAGGAAAUCAACAGCAGAAAUUCCUGCAGGUUGUUGCUUGUGCUGCUGCCACUAGAUGUCAAAUUGCCAUGAGAAAGGGUAAAGCAAUAUCAGGUGUGUUCCAUGCUUCAUGUGCUCAUAGCUGUUUCUUAGAGCACGCAGUAACUGCUGUUAGUGUGCAAAUUGCAAGUUAAUUUUAUGUCUCUCCGCUUCUCUGUGGCCUGAUGAUUACACAUAACAGCUAUUACCUGUUCUGUUUCCUUGCAUUUUCUUCUAGACUAUGUAAAAUAUUUUUCUCUUUCUGGAAAGACUUUGACUUUUCCUCU